CGGCAGCAUAGGAGCUUGCUCCUGAUGGCGAGUGGCGAACGGGUGAGUAAUAUAUCGGAACGUGCCCUAGAGUGGGGGAUAACUAGUCGAAAGACUAGCUAAUACCGCAUACGAUCUACGGAUGAAAGUGGGGGAUCGCAAGACCUCAUGCUCCUGGAGCGGCCGAUAUCUGAUUAGCUAGUUGGUGGGGUAAAAGCCUACCAAGGCAACGAUCAGUAGCUGGUCUGAGAGGACGACCAGCCACACUGGGACUGAGACACGGCCCAGACUCCUACGGGAGGCAGCAGUGGGGAAUUUUGGACAAUGGGGGCAACCCUGAUCCAGCAAUGCCGCGUGAGUGAAGAAGGCCUUCGGGUUGUAAAGCUCUUUUGUCAGGGAAGAAACGGUAGUAGCGAAUAACUAUUACUAAUGACGGUACCUGAAGAAUAAGCACCGGCUAACUACGUGCCAGCAGCCGCGGUAAUACGUAGGGUGCAAGCGUUAAUCGGAAUUACUGGGCGU
rnacentral:rRNA from 1 species